rnacentral:lncRNA from 1 species
UCGCCUCCAUCACCUUAUUUCAUUUUGGAGUAAACUUUCCAUCCAGUUUCUUUCGUAGUAUCUUCUCAGCGAAGUCCAAGCGUCGACGGGGGUUACGUUCCUGGAUGCGAGCGUCGGCGGUCGGCGAAGUAGAAGGUUAAGGUGAGCGAAUGUUUUGAUUCAAAGAUUAGGGUUUUUUCAUUUAGGGACAGUAAUUAGAGGGGUAAAUGGGUUGGGUUGGGUUGGGUUGGGGUGGGUUUUAGAGGGUUAGGAUUGGAUGGGUUUAGGAUUAAUGGGUUAUAAAUUUUAUUAACUCAACCUAUUCUUUUUUUUAAUCUAACCCAAUUUAAUUUUAAUAAAUUGAUGUGGGUUGAGUCGAAUUUUAUUAUGGGUUACACCAUCCUCUUAAUGGUCAUGGCUGGAAAAACCCAAGGUAAGGAAAAGGUUAUUCUUUUAUUGGCUCAGUAAUCAGUAGAAGAAAGAUUAGGAGCUUGGAAAUUAUAAAGCCGAACGAAUUGGCUCUAUUGAUUUUCUUUUCUACUCUAUUUUGCUUCAUGCUUGUUCAGGCAAAAAGAAAAAACAACAACAACAAUAACCACAGCAAUAAUACUGUCCUCUUCAUAUAAAUUCAACUUGAUUUCCUUGUAUCUCCUCCUCCGCUAUUCUCCUCGACAGCCAACUUUCUCUUAAAUUUAGAAAUUGGGACCGGCAGCAAGAAUCUCAGCAGAGUAUCCUUGUACGCCUUUUUGUCCACCAGCUCAACACCUGAUGAUAUUAAAGGUAUUAAUACUGCAGGGAUUCAAAAAAGUAAUAGCAGAAAGAUGGGAGUUUGGGAACGACUGGUUCAGGAAAGGUGCAAAGCAGUUGCUCUCCCAUAUCCACCGUAGAAAAUCACCCCAUCACGAUCAUCAUUAGCACGACUUCAUAUUUCAGCUCCAAACAAUAUUCUACCAAGACUGAAAAUUCAGCAAAGCAUUACCUUCUAAAUUCGCGAGUCAUCAUCUAUCGUGAUAGUCGUCUCAUCCAAACCCAACUCAUUCAACUCUGUUAAUACAACAAAAUAUAUUGUAGGGUGCUUCAUCUACUGUCAGUAAUAGCGUAUUAAAGAAGAGGGAUGUAGGGUGCUUCAUCUUUUGAAGUUCAUGCAUUGCAAUAAUCUUGUAUGAAUUUGGAUUCUGGGUGUUGUGAUUCUUUACAGGGGAAGGCUACUGAGUCUUUGAUGAUUUAUUGUUUUUUUUUUGUAUUCAUGACAAAGCAAGGGGGUUAAAUGGUUGUAUUCACUUUGGCAAAUAGUAGGACUGAAUUGAUGUGAACAUAUUUUCCAGUUCAGGAGGUUUGAAGUGAUCAACUAUGGUGACCAAGAGGGGUACAGAGAAACGCAAAGGAUCUGAGAACGGUGGAAGAGCCGUAAGUGAUCAGACUGUGAAUCGAGUUUUAAUCUUGUUUUAUUCCGGGUUUACUCUGACUUUAAUAAAUGAUUUUACUUCACAGAACCGGAUACGAGUUGAGAAGGAGGGGCCUUCAGCUUCCGCUUCCAGGAAGCAGCCAACCAGCA